GACGAACGCUGGCGGCGUGCUUAACACAUGCAAGUCGAACGGAAAGGCCCUGCUUUUGUGGGGUGCUCGAGUGGCGAACGGGUGAGUAACACGUGAGUAACCUGCCCUUGACUUUGGGAUAACUUCAGGAAACUGGGGCUAAUACCGGAUAGGAGCUCCUGCUGCAUGGUGGGGGUUGGAAAGUUUCGGCGGUUGGGGAUGGACUCGCGGCUUAUCAGCUUGUUGGUGGGGUAGUGGCUUACCAAGGCUUUGACGGGUAGCCGGCCUGAGAGGGUGACCGGCCACAUUGGGACUGAGAUACGGCCCAGACUCCUACGGGAGGCAGCAGUGGGGAAUAUUGCACAAUGGGCGGAAGCCUGAUGCAGCGACGCCGCGUGCGGGAUGACGGCCUUCGGGUUGUAAACCGCUUUCGCCUGUGACGAAGCGUGAGUGACGGUAAUGGGUAAAGAAGCACCGGCUAACUACGUGCCAGCAGCCGCGGUGAUACGUAGGGUGCGAGCGUUGUCCGGAUUUAUUGGGCGUAAAGGGCUCGUAGGUGGUUGAUCGCGUCGGAAGUGUAAUCUUGGGACUUAACCCUGAGCGUGCUUUCGAUACGGGUUGACUUGAGGAAGGUAGGGGAGAAUGGAAUUCCUGGUGGAGCGGUGGAAUGCGCAGAUAUCAGGAGGAACACCAGUGGCGAAGGCGGUUCUCUGGGCCUUUCCUGACGCUGAGGAGCGAAAGCGUGGGGAGCGAACAGGCUUAGAUACCCUGGUAGUCCACGCUGUAAACGGUGGGUACUAGGUGUGGGGUCCAUUCCACGGGUUCCGUGCCGUAGCUAACGCUUUAAGUACCCCGCCUGGGGAGUACGGCCGCAAGGCUAAAACUCAAAGGAAUUGACGGGGCCCCGCACAAGCGGCGGAGCAUGCGGAUUAAUUCGAUGCAACGCGUAGAACCUUACCUGGGUUUGACAUGGAUCGGGAGCGCUCAGAGAUGGGUGUGCCUCUUUUGGGGUCGGUUCACAGGUGGUGCAUGGCUGUCGUCAGCUCGUGUCGUGAGAUGUUGGGUUAAGUCCCGCAACGAGCGCAACCCUUGUUCACUGUUGCCAGCACGUUAUGGUGGGGACUCAGUGGAGACCGCCGGGGUCAACUCGGAGGAAGGUGGGGAUGACGUCAAGUCAUCAUGCCCCUUAUGUCCAGGGCUUCACGCAUGCUACAAUGGCUGGUACAGAGAGUGGCGAGCCUGUGAGGGUGAGCGAAUCUCGGAAAGCCGGUCUCAGUUCGGAUUGGGGUCUGCAACUCGACCUCAUGAAGUCGGAGUCGCUAGUAAUCGCAGAUCAGCAACGCUGCGGUGAAUACGUUCCCGGGGCU
rnacentral:rRNA from 1 species